rnacentral:rRNA from 1 species
GACGAACGCUGGCGGCGUGCCUAAUACAUGCAAGUUGAGCGCUGUAGGUUGGUACUUGUACCAACUGGAUGAGCAGCGAACGGGUGAGUAACGCGUGGGGAAUCUGCCUUUGAGCGGGGGACAACAUUUGGAAACGAAUGCUAAUACCGCAUAAAAACUUUAAACACAAGUUUUAAGUUUGAAAGAUGCAAUUGCAUCACUCAAAGAUGAUCCCGCGUUGUAUUAGCUAGUUGGUGAGGUAAAGGCUCACCAAGGCGAUGAUACAUAGCCGACCUGAGAGGGUGAUCGGCCACAUUGGGACUGAGACACGGCCCAAACUCCUACGGGAGGCAGCAGUAGGGAAUCUUCGGCAAUGGACGAAAGUCUGACCGAGCAACGCCGCGUGAGUGAAGAAGGUUUUCGGAUCGUAAAACUCUGUUGGUAGAGAAGAACGUUGGUGAGAGUGGAAAGCUCAUCAAGUGACGGUAACUACCCAGAAAGGGACGGCUAACUACGUG